rnacentral:rRNA from 1 species
GGGCAACGCUGGCGGCGUGCCUAACACAUGCAAGUCGGACGACAGGCGAGGAAUCCGCAAGGAGGAAUCGUGCUGAGUGGCGAACGGGUGAGUAGCACAUGGGGACAUACCCUCAAGAGUGGGAUAGCGUUUCGAAAGGGACGGUAAUACCGCAUACGCUCGGGAGAGGAAAGGUGCGAUUGUACCGCUUGAGGAGUGACUCAUGACCCAUCAGUUAGUUGGUGAGGUAAAGGCCCACCAAGGCUAUGACGGGUAGCUGGUCUGAGAGGAUGGUCAGCCACACUGGGACUGAGACACGGCCCAGACUCCUACGGGAGGCAGCAGUGGGGAAUUUUUCCCAAUGGGCGAAAGCCUGAGGGAGCGACGCCGCGUGGAGGAAGGAAUCUUUCGAGAUGUAAACUCCUGUUGUAAGGGAGCAAGGGUAUAUGGAGUGGAAAGUCAUAUACUCAGAUAGUACCUUACGAGGAAGCCCCGGCUAACUACGUGCCAGCAGCCGCGGUAAUACGUAGGGGGCGAGCGUUGUCCGGAGUUACUGGGCGUAAAGGGUGCGUAGGUGGCCGAUAAAGUCAAGUGUGAAAUUCCACGGCUCAACUGUGGGGAGAGCGUUUGAAACUAAUCGGCUUGAGGUCAGGUCAGGGAGAUGGAAUUGUCAGUGUAGGGGUG